AUGAAUGAAUCUGAUAGACAAAUACCCGUGGAAACAGAAUAUGAUCAAGUCAUAGUGAAGGGCAGCAUGAUUAGAUACUCUAAAUCUUUAUGAGGGCCAUGGGGAUAGCCCACAAGAUCAGAGAACAGUUCAUCACUCCCAUCAUCAAAUCUAAUGCACAAGAACUACUCAUUCAAAGCAAUAAGGACCAUACAAAAAAUGUUAACAAAGGAAGGAUGAAGUACAGUUAAUCAGAGAGCAAAAUUUGAAUGUGUUGUGCUUUCAGAAAGUAAGUACAUGUACAAAUUAGUGGCAAGAAUCUAUGAAUGUUAUAAAUCAUAGGAGGACAGACUUCAGCAUUUUGUGAAGGCAUAUACAUAGUGCAAUCUGAAGAAGCUUCACAGACAAAGUGUUGUAUAUAUUUAGUACAGACAUAUGGAGGAUUGUUUUGCAUGAUGUGGGCCGGCUGCUUCUGAGCUACUAGAAGAAAUUUUAUCUUUUAAGUAAUACAGUAUUGUGGGCAUAUAAAAGUUAGCCCAUAGAGAUUAAAAUUAAUUUUUUAGCGGAU
rnacentral:lncRNA from 1 species